rnacentral:rRNA from 1 species
CGGACUUGAACUGCGAACUGACCCUCCGAAAGGAGCUUCCGCAAGGACAUUCGUAGAGGUGCUGCAUGGCUGUCGUCAGCUCGUGUCGUGAGAUGUUGGGUUAAGUCCCGCAACGAGCGCAACCCUUGUUUGCUGUUGCCAUCAGGUAAAGCUGGGCACUCUGCAAAGACUGCCGGUGACAAACCGGAGGAAGGUGGGGAUGACGUCAAGUCAGCAUGGCCUUUAUGUCUGGGGCCACACACGUGCUACAAUGGCCGGUACAAACCGUCGCGAGCCCGCAAGGGGGAGCUAAUCGGAGAAAGCCGGUCUCAGUUCGGAUAGCAGGCUGCAACUCGCCUGCUUGAAGUUGGAAUCGCUAGUAAUCGCGGAUCAGCACGCCGCGGUGAAUACGUUCCCGGGCCUUGUACACACCGCCCGUCACAUCACGAAAGCCGGUUGUACUAGAAGUCGCCACACUAACCCGCAAGGGAGGGAGGCGCCUAAGGUAUGGUCGGUGAUUGGGGUGAAGUCGUAACAAGGUAGGCGUAGUGCU